AACACCACCAAGCAGAAGGAAAAUUUUGCUAGAGAGAGAGAAAAAUCUUGUGAGAGAAAACUUCAGUGUGGAAGUUAUACACGAGUGAUAAAAGUGAGUUGAGAGAUAGCCUCUGCGUAGGCAGAUACAAAAUACAGUGUGGUAUUUUUUGUUGUACUCCUCCUUUUGAGAUUCUCUAAUAUAUUGGUGUGGGUCCGUGGACGUAGGCAGUUUGGUCGAACCACGUUAAAAAUAUCGGUG
rnacentral:lncRNA from 1 species